rnacentral:rRNA from 1 species
UACAGAGGGCGCGAGCGUUGUUCGGAAUUACUGGGCGUAAAGGGCGCGCAGGCGGCUCUGAAAGUUAGAUGUGAAAGCCCCGGGCUUAACCUGGGAAUUGCAUUUGAUACUCUGGAGCUUGAGUACGGGAGAGGAGAGUGGAAUUCCCAGUGUAGAGGUGAAAUUCGUAGAUAUUGGGAAGAACACCAGUGGCGAAGGCGGCUCUCUGGACCGUAACUGACGCUGAGGCGCGAAGGCGUGGGGAGCAAACAGG